GGUUAAGCGACUAAGCGUACACGGUGGAUGCCCUGGCAGUCAGAGGCGAUGAAGGGCGUGCUAAUCUGCGAUAAGCGCCGGUAAGGUGAUAUGAACCGUUAUAACCGGCGAUACCCGAAUGGGGAAACCCAGUGUGACUCGUCACACUAUCAUUAACUGAAUCCAUAGGUUAAUGAGGCGAACCGGGGGAACUGAAACAUCUAAGUACCCCGAGGAAAAGAAAUCAACCGAGAUUCCCCCAGUAGCGGCGAGCGAACGGGGAGGAGCCCAGAGCCUGAAUCAGCAUGUGUGUUAGUGGAAGCGUCUGGAAAGGCGCGCGAUACAGGGUGACAGCCCCGUACACAAAAGCGCACAUGCUGUGAGCUCGAUGAGUAGGGCGGGACACGUGGUAUCCUGUCUGAAUAUGGGGGGACCAUCCUCCAAGGCUAAAUACUCCUGACUGACCGAUAGUGAACCAGUACCGUGAGGGAAAGGCGAAAAGAACCCCGGCGAGGGGAGUGAAAAAGAACCUGAAACCGUGUACGUACAAGCAGUGGGAGCACCCUUUGGGGUGUGACUGCGUACCUUUUGUAUAAUGGGUCAGCGACUUAUAUUCUGUAGCAAGGUUAACCGWAUAGGGGAGCCGSAGGGAAACCGAGUCUUAACCGGGCGUUAAGUUGCAGGGUAUAGACCCGAAACCCGGUGAUCUAGCCAUGGGCAGGUUGAAGGUUGGGUAACACUAACUGGAGGACCGAACCGACUAAUGUUGAAAAAUUAGCGGAUGACCUGUGGCUGGGGGUGAAAGGCCAAUCAAACCGGGAGAUAGCUGGUUCUCCCCGAAAGCUAUUUAGGUAGCGCCUCGUGAAUUCAUCUCCGGGGGUAGAGCACUGUUUCGGCUAGGGGGCCAUCCCGGCUU
rnacentral:rRNA from 1 species